AAUAACAUAUCAACCACUUUGAAUGACAUUGCUUGCUUGCUUGCUUGCUUGCUCUCAUAUGAUGAUGUUGAUCUGGAGAACGGACGAAUAUAAAAUGCUGAAGAACCAAGGUUAAUCAUCAUCAUCAUCAUCAUGUUUGGUGUUUUUUUUUUAUCGCGAAUUGUUGCAGCAGCUAAGAACAACAACAACAACAACUACAUUGACUUAAAUUGAUGGAUUAGAUGAUUAAUAGAUUUCACAUUCAAGUAAAGAUAUUCAUCUUGGAAUUUGAUAAAUAAUACACGGAAGUUUAUAGUUUUGAUAACGGAAAUGGUUUUGGUAGAAAAAAAACACACACACAUCCUGUAGUAAGUUUGUGGCUUGACGCCAAGAAUCUCAAUUGUAUCAUUUUAUUCCAGAAUUUAUAAAUCUACCAACAACAACAACAAUUGACAUGUUCUGGUUAUUUAUUGAAAUGUCAUCUUUGUUUUUACUCUGUUUCAUGGACCAUAUGGACCGACAAGGUCAUUGAUGUCAUUUUAAGUAAAAAACAA